GCAGGGCCAGCAGGUAGUGUCGAAACCUCAACAUCAUGUGAUUCAUCGAGCAGGGUCCGAGCACUGAGAACACCUAGAGCCAGCCUGAGAACGCCUCUUACUAAAUCCAAAGGAUUUAGUAAGAGGUCAAUAAGAGUUUGUGCUAGAUGUGGUGUUCUUCAGGAGGAGCUCAAACAAAAAUCAGAUGAAAUACAGAAGCUGAAACAAGAACUUCAAAAAUACCAAAAACAAG